rnacentral:rRNA from 1 species
GAUGAACGCUGGCGGCGUGCCUAAUACAUGCAAGUCGAGCGAACAGAUGAGGAGCUUGCUCCUCUGACGUUAGCGGCGGACGGGUGAGUAUCACGUGGAUAACCUACCUAUAAGACUGGGAUAACUUCGGGAAACCGGAGCUAAUACCGGAUAAUAUAUUGAACCGCAUGGUUCAAUAGUGAAAGACGGUUUUGCUGUCACUUAUAGAUGGAUCCGCGCCGCAUUAGCUAGUUGGUAAGGUAACGGCUUACCAAGGCAACGAUGCGUAGCCGACCUGAGAGGGUGAUCGGCCACACUGGAACUGAGACACGGUCCAGACUCCUACGGGAGGCAGCAGUAGGGAAUCUUCCGCAAUGGGCGAAAGCCUGACGGAGCAACGCCGCGUGAGUGAUGAAGGUCUUCGGAUCGUAAAACUCUGUUAUUAGGGAAGAACAAAUGUAUAAGUAACUAUGCACGUCUUGACGGUACCUAAUCAGAAAGCCACGGCUAACUACGUG